UAAAACGGCCAGCGUGGCUGC
rnacentral:misc_RNA from 1 species